rnacentral:rRNA from 1 species
CAAUAGCGUAUAUUAAAGUUGUUGCAGUUAAAAAGCUCGUAGUUGAACCUGAGAGUUUGUCCGCUCGGCGGCCUUUCAUGGGUCUGCAUGGGUGUGUUUUACAAAUUCUUCUGGCCGGGGUUCUGCGUCAUUUGCCCUUGACUGGGUGGGCGCAGGAGGUCGGCCCUUUUACUUUGAACAAAUUAGAGUGUUUAAAGCAGGCCACUGCCUUUGAAUACAUUAGCAUGGAAUAAUGGAAUAGGACUUGGGUUCUAUUUUGUUGGUUUCUAGGACCGAAGUAAUGAUUAAUAGGGAUAGUUGGGGGCAUUCAUAUUUCAUUGUCAGAGGUGAAAUUCUUGGAUUUAUGAAAGAUGAACUUCUGCGAAAGCAUUUGCCAAGGAUGUUUNCAUUAA